rnacentral:rRNA from 1 species
UACGAAGGAUGCAAGCGUUAUCCGGAUUUAUUGGGUUUAAAGGGUGCGUAGGCGGACUUAUAAGUCAGUGGUGAAAUCUCGUUGCUUAACAACGAACGUGCCAUUGAUACUGUAGGUCUUGAGUACAGAUGCCGUUGGCGGAAUGUGUCAUGUAGCGGUGAAAUGCAUAGAUAUGACACAGAACACCGAUUGCGAAGGCAGCUGACGAAACUGUAACUGACGCUGAGGCACGAGAGCGUGGGGAUCAAACAGG